GUUGAUGGAGAAAUGUGUGGACAUUAUACACAAAUUGUGUGGGGUAGCACUACAAAAGUUGGAUGUGCUAGUGUUGUGUGUUCUGAUAAUAAAGGUACUUUCAUGACUUGUAACUAUGAUCCUCCUGGAAAUUACUAUGGAGAGAAACCUUAUUGAAAGAAAAUUACCAAAAGGGGGAUUGAAGAAAGCAUUGAGACAAACACAGCUCAAUAAUGUUAUCAUAUACUCCCUCCGUCCCAUAUUAUAAACAAAAAGAAAAUCAUUUUUUCUUGUCCCAAAUUAUAAGUAAAAGUAACUUACUUUUAUUAUUUUUAAGAUUUACUUUUACUUAUUCUCAUGAAAUUUAAUACAAACCACAUUUAAUUUACUCUCGUAUAUGUGUAAGUUUGUUAGCAACCUCAUUUUCAAUAUAAAUUAUCAUAUAAUUGGUGAGAAUUUCAUUUUUAAUUUUGUUGUACACCUAAUAACUUUCAUAGCUAAAAACGAGUCAGUGUAAAAUUACAUUGUCAGCCAUGCAGUCUAAUUUGAGUCUCAUAUCUUUUAACUUAAAAUUUGAACUUUCUGAUUUUAAUUUUCUAUAACUUCAUGGUUACUCGCUUAGUUAUAUUAAUUUUUCAGUUAUCCUUCAUCAAAAAAUCCUGAAUUGGAUAAAUGCAUAUGCACAUGUGAUGAUGAUUCCCCCAGCCAAUGAUAUANNNNNNNNNNNNNNNNNNNNNNNNNNNNNNNNNNNNNNNNNNNNNNNNUUUUUACUUUGACUUAUUGAUUGUCCCCAUCCAAGCAUCAACCAAAUAUCAAAACCAAUUCUAUAACUAAUAGUCAGGUCAAAAUUCAGAAUCUUUUAGAUUAGCUCUCUAAGUUUUUUAGAUAACAAAUAUAUCUUUUAUAUUUUUAAUUUGUUACACUGUUAUUCUUUUAGUUAACCUCUGUUACUUUGUAUUGUGACCAUUAAGGUUCACUUCCACCACGAUGAAUAUUUUGAUGAAAAAGACACACAUAUUGGAGGAAAUGAACUGAAAGAGUAGUAGUUCAACAAUUUUUUAUAAUGGAGAAUGAGUGAAAGGAUAAUGGUACCGUACAACAAAUUAAAAGUUUAAAAAACCUAUUUAUUACAUAAAAACUUAAAAUACCUAACUUAAACUUAAAAACUCUUAAAUCAUUACAUAAAAACUUAAAGAUCUAACCGUUAAACUUAAAGACCUAAAUGUUAACUGUUCGACUGAAUCCUAUUUAUGAUUAUCUCUACGGGGUACAAAUCUUAUUUGAACGAAGUGAGAGACAUAGUNNNNNNNNCAAGCUUAUUACUGUGCUACUGUGCUUGAAUCAAACCUAAAAUUACUUUUAUCACUGAAUUUGAACGAAACCACACCAAUAAAUAUUUUAGUGUGUGAGACAAAUAAAUUGAAGCAACCAUAUCAAAAUGAAUGGACAAUUAAACACAAAAGCUAAAACUACCAAAAGCGAUAAAGAACACUGAUAAAUUAUUUACUCAGUUCGGUUAAAACCAAUCUACUCUGGGGGAGAGAGAGCUCUCAGUUCCACUAUCAAUGAAAAACUUGAUUACAAAGAUUCAAUAUACAAGAGUUGCAAGAAUUUAGAGUUUUCUUAAAUUCUACCAUUUUCCCGAAUAUCUCUCUGUGACCAAAAGAUUCAAUCAAUAAGUGUUUCUAAGGUGUUACAAUCAAUUCCCCAACCCUAGAGAUUACCCAAGAAAAACCUUCUAACACUCUAGCCUUUAUGUUGAAAGCAAAACCCUAAAAACCUCACAUUUUCUCUCUCUUGCGGCUGCACAAAAACAUAACAGCAUAUUUAUACUGCAACUGGCAACUGGGGCGCAGGAAAUGGCGCAUGGUGCGCAUGCGCCUCAUACCCUCAUACCCGCGCAUGGUGCGCAAAUUCCAGCAGUACCACAAUUUUUAUCAUUGUUUUUAAAGGCAAUCUCCAACAACUACCACCGAGUCAACUCAUAACUCUGCAAUUUCAAUUUCUUAAGUUGUUUUUUUAAAGCAUAGACAGGUCAAUGUGUUUUCUAAUCUCUUAUAUAUAUUGUUAGACAAUUUGAUUCGUAUUAAUUCCAUUUGAGUUUUUUUCUAUCACUGCUAUUUGAAAACAAGUCAUGUCAAUUGAAUCGAAAGCAGCACUAUCGUCGUCCAAGUUAGUAAUCAGAUCAAAUUCAUAUGUGUAAGUAGACAUAUAAUCUGUUUGAGACCAAAUUAGUAUCUAUUUGUCAAAAUCCUUUUUUGUUGCGACGCUCGCUCUCUUUACUUUUGAAUCUUCUUUAGACUUGCCUAUGUAACAUAAUAAUGUUGCACCAACUCUGCCUAACUGGCAUACCUUUGUUGAGCACCUCUCAGACCAAAUUUGAAUUGAUCAAAUCUUAUAUAGUUAAUAGUUCCCUGUUUCAAUUGCAAGAAUUCCUCCUGCUCUUUCUAGACUCUUAAUUAAGGAUAUCUCGGGAAUAAUAUUAAAUUGCUAAAAUAUUGUUAUUACAUGACAAGAAAAUAGCACUUUGGGUCCAAAGUAACCAUAUUUUAGGCUAAAAGUUUGAGUGUAGACCAAAUUUGAAACAAAUGUGAUACUCGAUGGAUAAAAAAUUCGCAAAUAUGACUAUUUUCGUAAGAGUGAUAAAAUAGAAGACAAAAAAUACAAUUAAGUUAAAUAUUUAUAAUAAAUAACUAUAACCUCUCACCAAUUUAAAUUCCCAUAAAUAACUUGCAUUGGUUCUAGGAUGAUGAAUUGCAAAAUGAUGAAUAUUUGGCUAUGGUGGUGGUAUCUCAGCGGAGGAGAGGAAAAAUGAGAUAGUAGAACUGAUUAUUCCCUGUUACUUUAAACUUGAUUUUGAGGAGGCUAAGCUCUUACAAACAUGAAUACCAACACCAAUACCAGAGCCAAGACUUGUCCUUUUUUGGUGUUACCAUAAUAUGAUAUUGGUACGAAAUUUCCACCACCAUUAAUAAUGACUAAUCUCUGUUCAAUAAUUUGUGGGACACACAAGGUGGAUUCUCUCAUCCCAACCGAAUUUUCUCCAUACGCAUGAGUCAAAAAUCGAAUUCAUGACCACAUAUUUAAAAGGAUCAAAACCCUUACCACUUGUACAGAUUAUUUUUGGCAGAGCCAAGACUUAUCUUAAUUCACAAAAUGACAAACUACCUCCAAAUAACCUCCAGAGUCCACACUCACCCUAUAUCCCUCAACAUUGCCCAACAAUCAUGCCAAGUCAGCAAUAGUGUUACUAACUCUCACUCUCAGCAUCCCUAUUCUUCUUGUGAGUAUAGGACCUUCCAAAUCUUGGGUUUGUUAUGAUUAAGACCCAAUACAGCCCUCUUGUUCAGUCUUCUUCUCCCUAUUCGAUGCUUCAUCGAUCAGUACUUACUAUCAACAAACAUGAAAGCAUAACAGUUGUUUACAAAGCUUCCUGUCUAUUACCUUUCUCUUCUUUCUAAAUCCCUCAGACCAACGAACACACAAGUGCACACAGGAAGCCACUUGGCCUUAUUUUUUUUUCAUUGCUUGAAAGAAAGUGAAAUCUUAACUACUUAAAUCACGGCUAGUAUUCUGUUUAAUUAAAAAAGUAAAAGACUAUUACACUCACGGGACAAUAUCCAAUCAUAGAGAGUUAGAAAAACGUCACCCAACCCAUGUGCUAAAAAGGGAGAAUCGUAACAUAAUUAGCCUCCAAAAGUAGACAUGUAUUAAUAUCCAACCAAUAAAAAUUUAAACAAAAAAUAAAACCGAUAACCGUUUCAAUUAAAUAAUAACAAAAGGUUAAAAAAUUGAAUGAUAAUCUAACAUGGGUGCCACUAAAAUCCAACAAGUUGACAUUGCAGGCUUUCACUCAUUUCAAACCACAUUUGCAUUAUUUAUAGAGUCUCUACUCUCGCAUUCUUUGUCACAAAAAUAUUAAUACCAAUUAGCAACACAAAACAUCCUCAAAAAUGAAUCUUAGGUGUUUUAGUUUCAUCCCUUUUCUGCUGAUUCUCACAUUCACUUCCCAUGUAAGUGCCAAUUAUAAACAUUCCAAUUACAGAAGCUUCACAAACCAAUUUCUGAUUCCACAGAACAUUGCUCGAGUUGCGGUGGGGCAACAACCGUUAGUGUGGGACGAUAAGCUAAUGCAUUACGCACAAUGGUACGCGAACCAGAGGCGCGAUGACUGUGUCUUGGAACAUUCUAAUGGGCCAUAUGGUGAGAAUAUUUUUUGGGGUAGUGGUUUUGGGUGGAAUCCAGCACAAGCAGUGAGUGCUUGGGUGGAUGAAAAACAGUAUUACAAUUAUGGGCAAAAUUCUUGUGUUGAUGGAGAAAUGUGUGGACAUUAUACACAAAUUGUGUGGGGUAGCACUACCAAAGUUGGAUGUGCUAGUGUUGUUUGUUCUGAUAAUAAAGGUACUUUCAUGACUUGUAACUAUGAUCCUCCUGGAAAUUACUAUGGAGAGAAACCUUAUUGAAAGGAAAUGCCUAAAUCAAAAGGGGAUUGAAGAAAGCAUAGAGGCAAACACAGCUCAAUAAUGUUAUCAUAUAGGUUAAUAGCCAUAUCCUUAUUGUAUGUUUGGCAUGUGACUUUAUUGAUUGGAAACUGCCUCAUG
rnacentral:lncRNA from 1 species